UAUUGCACAAUGGGGGAAACCCUGAUGCAGCGACGCCGCGUGAGUGAAGGAGUAUUUCGGUAUGUAAAGCUCUAUCCGCAGGGAAGAAAAUGACGGUACCUGAUUAAGAAGCCCCGGCUAACUACUUGCCAGCAGCCGCGGUAAUACGUAGGGGGCAAGCGUUAUCCGGAUUUACUGGGUGGAAAGGGAGCGUAGACGGCAGCACAAGUCUGGAGUGAAAUGCCGGGGCUUAACCACGGAACUGCUUUGGAAACUGUGCAGCUAGAGUGCAGGAGAGGGAAGUGGAAGUCCUAGUGUAGCGGUGAAAUGCGUAGAUAUUAGGAGGAACACCAGUGGCGAAGGCGGCUUACUGGACUGUAACUGACGUUGAGGCUCGAAAGCGUGGGGAGCAAACAGG
rnacentral:rRNA from 1 species